ensembl:misc_RNA Y_RNA Y RNA
GGCUGGUCUGAGUGCAGUAGUUUCACAAUUAAUUGAUCACAGCCAGUUACAGAUUUUUUUGUUCCUUCUCCACUCCCCCAUGCUUCAUUUGACUAGCAAAU